GAAUACAUAAAAAAAAAAAAAAAAAAAAAAAAAAAAAAACAAAACAAAGGAGAGAGCGUUUAUAUUCCUCUUUUUGUUGCGCAUGUUAAUUAAUUGUCUGUAAUUUUAGUGUUAAUACGUCUUUUGAUUUGUGGUUUUGCAUCAUCUAUUCGUAUUUGGAUUUUCAGGUUUGUAAGAUCUCUUACGACAGAAUUAGUUUAUGUUUUCCAUCGUAGUUCUUCUUUGAGUACAAUAGGUCUAGGUGUACUUCUUUUUAUGUUCCAAUUAGUGUCAUCUUGCGCGUGGAUAAGUUUCAUGACAGGACCUAGCCACGAAAGGUUAGUUUGGUUAAAGAGUAAAUAACAGCAAAUCCAUUAAAAAUAGAGGAAAAUCUGACAGUGUUGUUUAUCUAUAUGAAUUUGUAAAAAUGAAGGAAAAGAUAAGGAAGGAAACAUUCCUAUUAGAUGUUGGUUCUCACUUCUCUUACCUGUGUAUUGUAAUUCCUGUUGCAGCUUUUUCUGAAUUUGCUUUUGUGUGAGAGGAUUUGAGCAAAUUCUGCAUAAGUUGAUGCACCUAUUUUUUUCUUGGCGGAAGAAGGGAAAUAAUAGUUACCAAAAGACAAUUGUGUAAUUUGGACAAAGAUUUUAGUGGAGAUGAUAGAGUAAGUGAUCGCACUGCUCUCAUACUGGAUAAUUUCAACCAGCAAAUGGCAACCUGUGAAGCAUCUUUACAGGCAAGUCCAAUUUUAAUAUCGGUAUUGCAUCUUGAGAUUUUUGCACUUUUGCAUAACCAGUGUGAAUUUGUUCAGGUAUCAUUGGCACAAAUGGAAUACUAAUUACCACGGCUAACCUGUAUGUGGACUCCAUUUGAGUGUCAAGCUGGAGGAGGGGUCAAGGGUAUGGGUGAAAAACAAAUUGAAGUAGACAAGAGAAUUUUACAUACUUAAGUAAGCAAUUUUCAUUUAUCAUCAUAAAUUAUGCAUGUUUGUAGUGGUAAGUAACUUUCUGUCCAGUUCAGAUUUAAGUAGAGCUACAUAUCAACCCUCUAUAUUUAUUUACUUGGAUUGUGGUGUGAGUAAUAUUUUGAUCAUUAGUUCUCAGAUCUGAUUUUUUGCCUGUGAUAGUUUUCAAUUUGUUACUGGUUUUUGUAACAUUUCAAGUGGCCUUUGUAUGUGCCUUUGGCCUUCCCAAAUUUCAACAGCAAAAUGCUUCUUGCGAGCACCACCACACCAAAUUUCAUAGAGAUAAGAUACUAAGGACUCGUUUGGCCAUAAGAGUUAUUCACUUUUUUCCUGAUUUUUUUUUCAUUUUUUUCAAGAAUUAGUGUUUGACCAUGAAAAUUCCAACUAAAACUUGAAGGUGUAUUUCCAACUAAAACUUGAAGGUGUAUUUGGAAUUUGAAAAACAAGAAAAACUUGUUUUCCACAACCAAAACCUUGUUGAAAAAGUACAUUUCAACAAAAAAUACUAUUCGCAAAAACUAUGGCCAAACACAACUCCAACUCCAACUCCAAAAUUCCAAAAAAAAGUGAAAAAGUUUUUGGUUUCUAUGGCCAAACGCCUACUAAAAGUUCACUGAUGCACUACUGAUAGAGUAAAUGAUCUCGCAAGUAGCUGUGAAACCUUUUGAUUAGUGACCGCGAAGGAUGUGAUUGCCGGGGACAAGUUGUCUUUAACUAAGUACUGUAAGAAAGUGCAGCAGAGUAUCUAAUCCAUCUACUCUUGAGAUUGGAAGUGUCUCACAAUAUAAAUCUAGAUUGUUACUGGAUAAUUGCAUUUUGAUAUUUAUCAGGUGUGCAUGUGUGUAUGAAGUAUGUGCCUCAUUUUCGAGGAAUCCUUAGGCUAGCGAGCUAUAUGUAAAAUGACCCAUUUAUUCAGGGGGUUUGAAUGAAGGCUCACCUCUUCUGGGCUUAAACUCAAGUCUACGCAUGACUAUUCCGGGACUAUAAUAUUUUUUUGAUUUCAUCCGAAGGUUUUAGCUAUAUAUCAAUAUACAAGUGCCUUUACCUAGAGUGCAAGUAUAACCCGACUUUGCUAAAAUCUCGGUGUCCUUCCCAUUUAAAUUUUCCAUAUCUAUUAUUACAUUUAGCAUUGAACUUUUGUUUAAUUGAAUUUCUUUUUCAGUUUCAUUUCAUCAAAAAGCAUGCCCCAAAAGUAUUCGAAAUCAUUCUACAAAAUAAAGUCUGAAUAUGCAAUGCAGGUCAGUGCCGAGAUGGACUUCAAGGUGAGUGUUCAGCUAAUUGAAAAUGCUUUUUAGAAUUCUUAAAUUUCGUUCACUGCUCAGCUUACCCCACAGAGAGGACAGAUAAAAUGGUUUGGUUUGGCAUCUCAGUGAAAGAAUUACCAAUGCGUUGACCUGUUCAAUCUUUGAUAUCUAAUGUAGUGAAAGCAUUACCAAUGCCGUUGGUGUGCUCAUAUGUAGUCUUUGAAGUUGAUUUUGCCUGGGGAAGGCUCUUUUAUGUUAGUUGUUCACUCUGUCGAAAAAAGAAUAAAUGUAAAUGUAUAUGUAUACGUAUAUAUAUGUUGAUCGAAUUGAACCAUGGGUGUCUUUGAAUGAGAAAGAUAUGUCUAUAUGUGAAUCA